UACGUAGGGGCCGAGCGUUGUCCGGAGUUAUUGGGCGUAAAGCGCGCGCAGGCGGCCUCGCGCGCCCGACGUGAAAGCCCCCGGCUUAACCGGGGAGGGUCGUUGGGGACGGCGGGGCUUGAGGGCGGGAGAGGUCGGUGGAAUUCCCGGUGUAGUGGUGAAAUGCGUAGAGAUCGGCAGGAACACCCAGGGGGAAACCAGCCGACUGGGCAUCUGCUGACGCUGAGGUGCGAGAGCGUGGGGAGCGAACCGG
rnacentral:rRNA from 1 species